rnacentral:lncRNA from 1 species
AAGUUACUAAUAUGCUGAAACAGUGUCACUAUAUGUCAAACCCAAGUUUCCAACGCAAACACCCCAAGACUCACUCAAGGGCGGUUAAUGAGCAUAUAGACACGAAAAGUUUACCUAGCAUACGAGAUUAACAAGCAUCAAAUUGUGUCAUGUUUAAAAUGGAUAGAGUGUGCAUAUAACAAGUUUCAAGCGUUGCGUGUUUUUGUAUAGAACACAUGUUGCACCCA